rnacentral:rRNA from 1 species
UACGUAGGGUGCAAGCGUUAAUCGGAAUUACUGGGCGUAAAGGGUGCGCAGGCGGUGAUGUAAGACAGAUGUGAAAUCCCCGGGCUCAACCUGGGAACUGCAUUUGUGACUGCAUGGCUAGAGUACGGUAGAGGGGGAUGGAAUUCCGCGUGUAGCAGUGAAAUGCGUAGAUAUGCGGAGGAACACCGAUGGCGAAGGCAAUCCCCUGGACCUGUACUGACGCUCAUGCACGAAAGCGUGGGGAGCAAACAGG